rnacentral:rRNA from 1 species
UUCAGUCUGGCCAGAUGGAGCACUUUGGCGGGAUGCUUUACACAUGCAAGUCGAACGGCAGCACAGACUUCGGUCUGGUGGCGAGUGGCGAACGGGUGAGUAAUGUCUCGGAACGUGCCUAGUAGCGGGGGAUAACUACGCGAAAGCGUAGCUAAUACCGCAUACGCCCUUCGAGGGAAAGCGGGGACCUUCGGGCCUCACGCCUAAUGGAAACGACCGCGAUAUCGGAUUAGCUAGUUGGUGGGGUAACGGCUCACCAAGGGCGACGAUCCGUAGCUGGUUUGAGAGGACGACCAGCACACUGGGACGAGACACAGCCGAACUCUACUGAGGAGGCAGCAGUGGGAAUUUGGACAAUGGGGGAAACCUGAUCCAGCCAUCCCGCGUGUGCGAUGAAGGCCUUCGGGUUGUAAAGCACUUUUGGCGGAAAGAAACGGCGGGAUAAUACCCCGUGCAACUGACGGUACCUGCAGAAUAAGCACCGGCUAACUACGUGCCAGCAGCCGCGGUAAUACGUAGAGAUUACGGCGUUAAUCGGAAUUACUGGGCGUAAAGCGUGCGCAGGCGGUUCGGAAGAAAAGAUGUAAGAUCCCAGAGCUUAACUUUGGAACUGCAUUUUUAACUGAGCUAGAGUGUGUCAGAGGAGGUGGAGAUUCUAACGAUAAUAGCAGUGAAAUGCGUAGAUAUGCGGAAGACACCGAUGGCGAAGGCAGCCUCCUGGGAUAACACUGACGCUCACAUGCACGAAAGCGUGGGGAGCAAACAGGAUUAGAUACCCUGGUAGUCCACGCCCUAAACGAUGUCAACUAGCUGUUGAACGCUUCGAGCGCUUAAGGUAGCGCAGCUAACGCGUGAAGUUGACCGCCUGGGGAGUACGGUCGCAAGAUUAAAACUCAAAGGAAUUGGCGAGACCCGCACAAGCGGUGGAUGAUGGAUUAAUUCAAAGUGCAACACGAAAAACCUUACCUACCCUUGACAUGUCUGGAAUCCCGAAAAGAGAUUUGGGAGUGCUCGCAAGAGAACCGGAACACAGGUGCACUGUAUGGCUGUCGUCAGCUCGUGUCGUGGAAUCGUGGAGUUGAAGUCCCUGUGAGCGCAACCCUUGUCAUUAGUUGCUACGAAGAGCCUCUAAUGAGACUGCCAGUGACAAACCGGAGGAAGGUGGGGAUGACGUCGAAUCCUCAUGGCCCUUAUGGGUAGGAGAAACUACACGUCAUACAAUGGUCGGGACAGAGGGUCGCCAACCCGCGAGGAGCCAAUCCGGCGAUUACGCUCGUCCGGAUCACCAGUCUGCAACUCGACUGCGUGAAGUCGGAAUCGCUAGUAAUCGCGGAUCAGCAUGUCGCACGGUGAAUACGUUCCCAGGUCUGCUUUUGCCGUCACACCAUGGGAGUGGGUUUACCAGAAGUAGUUAGCCUAACCGUAAGGAGGGCGAUUACACGGUAGGAUUCAUGACUGAGGUGAAGUCGUAUCAAGGUAG